AUACGGAGGAUCCGAGCGUUAUCCGGAUUUAUUGGGUUUAAAGGGUGCGCAGGCGGGAGAUUAAGUCGGCGGUGAAAUUUUGCAGCGCAACUGUAAAAGUGCCUUCGAAACUGGGUUCCUUGAGUGUAGAUGAAGUAGGCGGAAUUUGUGGUGUAGCGGGGAAAUGCAUAGAUAUCACGAGGAACUCCGAUUGCGCAGGCAGCUUACUAAACUACUACUGACGCUCAGGCACGAAGGCGUGGGGAUCAAACAGGAUUAGAUACCCUGGUAGUCCACGCAGUAAACGAUGAUUACUAGCUGUUUGCGAUACAAUGUAAGCGGCUGAGCGAAAGCGUUAAGUAAUCCACCUGGGGAGUACGUUCGCAAGAAUGAAACUCAAAGGAAUUGGCGGGG
rnacentral:rRNA from 1 species